GGCAUUGUGCCUCGCAUUGCACUCCGCGGGGCGAUAAGUCCUGAAAAGGGAUGUC
rnacentral:ncRNA from 1 species